rnacentral:misc_RNA from 1 species
UAUGGAUUUGCCUGUGACGCCUGGUAUGCCAUGUUUUUUUUUCUUUACCGGGUUUUAUUUCUUCAAUUUGCUGUUUUUUUUCCCUUAGAAAUGACUGCUAUUUUUUUUUCCCGGUAUAAUUCUUCAGUUUGGACACUGUUUUAUUAAGAGGAAGAAAUUGGUAAUUUACUUUUCUUCAAAUGAAGGGAUAAUUUGAUAAUGAGGAACAUUGUGUGAUAAAUGGACGACAAAAUCAAUCGUUCAUGGAAAUGGUGGGUGUUCAACUUAUUUGGGCUUAUGCCCUACUCCAUUUUGGUCAUCCUUACUAUAAAGUUUUGGUGAAUCUCAACUCCAAGGUUGCUCUAGAUGUUAAAUAACCAGUCCAUAUCAUGCCAUUCAUGCGCUGAUUCCUAUCCUAUUGCAAGGGUAGUUUUAAAGGCUGCCAUGUCUAGAAUUUUUGGUUGUAUAGGCUGUGGUGCCUGGAUGGAAUGGAAUUCCUCUCAUGGUAUGCAAGCAAAUAGGAUAUUCAAAUUUUUUCUUCUAUUCAGGUUGUCCAGCAUCAAAGCACGCUCGCAACUGGGACUAGAUUUUCUUGUUUAUCAACAAAACUUGUUAACCUCAUGGAACAAAAUAAUGCUUUGCAGUAAAUCUUAAAUGAGACAUCUGGUUCUCAAUUUCACCUUUUCUUUACUAUUUCUCUCUUUCUUCAGUGUUGAAGAGAGAAUGCUAAUGAUGAGAUAUAAAGAUGUCUAUGAAAAUUUCAAGUCUUGUUAUACAGUAUGAUAAUACAAAGAUGAAUAUUUCUUUGCACUAGAACACAGUUCGGGAAUAUUUUGGGUGGUCU